rnacentral:rRNA from 1 species
GACGUAGGGUGCCAGCGUUGUUCGGAAUUACUGGGUGUAAAGGGUUCGUAGGCGGUGUGGCAAGUCGGGUGUGAAAUCUCUGGGCUCAACUCAGAGACUGCUUCCGAAACUGCUGUGCUGGAGUGUGGGAGAGGCGCGUGGAAUUGCAGGUGUAGCGGUGAAAUGCGUAGAUAUCUGCAGGAACACCCGUGGCGAAAGCGGCGCGCUGGACCACUACUGACGCUGAGGAACGAAAGCUAGGGGAGCAAACAGG